CUAUGUAUAGUAGUAUUAUAUACCAAAGAUGGUGAAAGUCCAGACUACUAUCUCUUUAGAUAAAGAGAAAUAUAUUUACAUACAUGUAUGAGUAAACAAAGUAAUAUGAAGACGGCAGCUUUGUAUGAAAUAUGGGGAUACCAUUCUCCAAGGCUAAGUAUAGUAUAUCUAGCGAUAGUGAAGAGUAACGUGAGUGAAAGGUGAAAAGUAAGUGUAUGACUGGUGAAAUAGAUCUUGAAUUACAAGCCUUACAAGCAGUUAGAGUUCUAUAGAAUAGAAUGAUAACGUACCUUUUGCAUAAUGGGUCAGCAAGUUAAUUAUAAAUGCAAGAUGAUAAAUCUUAGCGAAAGCGAUUAAAAAUGAGAAAAGUAUUUAUAAUUAGAUCCGAAACCAGAUGAUCUUUUCAUGGCCAGGUUAUAAUGGACCGAACAGCAAAAUGUUGCAGUAUUUUCUGAUGAGCUGUGAAAAGGGGUGAAAUGCUAAUCUAAUCUGGUGAUAGCUGAUAUUCUGCGAAAUCUAUUUAAGUAGAAAGUUUCUGUAAAAUAUUCUUUGUAUAGCACUUAUUUCCAUUUCUUGAUAAAUUGGAUUCCAAUUUAUUAUUUAUAGAAUAAAUUAGGGGAUCAAAAGAUCCUACUAUUGGAAGUUAACCUCAGAAGAAGAAUAUCUUGAUCAGAAACUGACAGUCUAUUUGUGAUAAGGUAAAUAGACAAAAGGGAAACAGCCCAGAUCAUAAAUUAAGGUCCCUAAUAAAUAUUUAGUGAACAUAAGAAGGUCUUUUAUCUAAUACAACUACAAAGUAAGCUUGGAAGUAGCUACCUUUUAAUGAAAGUGUAACAACUCAAUAGUCUAAUGGAUAAAAGGCAUCGAAGAUUAACGGGUCUGAAAUAUUUAACCUACAUUAUGAUAUAUAUACAUUUUUAUUUCUAAUAUAAAAAUGUAUAUGUAGGUAGCAGAACACUUAGUAUGAGAGUGAAGAAGUGUAUGAAUACAUUUUGGACUAUACUAAAGAGAGAAUGCUGGCAUGAGUAACGAUUAAGAAGUUAAAAUACUUCUCGCCGAACACGAAAGGGUUUUAUGGAAAAGGUAAUCUGCCAUAAUUUAUACGGUUUCUAAGGAAAAUAAACGAAUUGUUAUUUUCUGAUGAAGAAUAGAAAUCAUAGAGAAAGAAUCUUUCUUCUAGAAAAAGAUUUCUACUAUUGAUAGUAACCGUACCUGAAACCGACACAGGUUCGUGGGUAGAGUAUACUAAGGCGUAGAGAUAAGGCUAGUGAAGGAACUCGGCAAAAUGCUUCUGUAAGUUCGACGAUAAAGAAGAAGUUAUAAUUUAGAAUCAUUUUAUGAUUCUUUUAUAACUUGUCACAAAAGUGAGGGCUUCGACUGUUUACUAAAAACAUAGCAACUUGCUAAGACGAAAAGUACUUGUAUAAGUUGUGAACUCCUGUCCAAUGCCAUUUGUUUAAGGAAGGGAAUCUUCUUCCGGGAAGUGUUCCUGACUGAUGCGGUGGUGAAUGACGGUCUUAACUAUAAGGAUCUGAAAGUAGCGAAAUUCCUUGGCCAUUAAAUGUGGUCCUGCAUGAAUGAGGUAACGCGGCCCUGCUGUCUCCACUAGCUUCUCAGUGAAAUUGAAUUAGCCGUGCAGAUGCGGUUUGCCUUCCGGAGGACGCGAAGACCCUAUGCAGCUUUACUGUAUUCUGAUAUUGUUAUUCGUGAUAUAUAGUGUAG
rnacentral:rRNA from 1 species